CACACAUGGAGCAUUGGAUGCUUGGAGGCACCCGGGAACCCGCAGCACCCUGGGGGCACGGGAAAAGAGGAGCAUUUCACAUUUCACAGGUAUUUUCAAGGAGGGUGUGGGACACCUUUGCUCAGGACCUGGAUAAAUAGAAAACAGGAAGGGGAAUGGGGUGCCCUGACUGAGCACGAGGGGCAGAGAGCAGCAUGGUUUGUGCCAGACCAAAAACACCAACUGGGUCUUGUGCGAUGCCGAGGAAGUCCCGCUGUGCCAGGGCUGGAGCUCGGGCUGGCAGCAGGAAGGCGGCUGCCAGGACGGGCUUCCGCAAGACUUCCUCUCCCGUGGCCCUUCGUUAGGGAAUUAGGACGUAAGGAGAGAAGGCAGCAGGGAGGAAACGAGCCCGGGGAGCCGCCGCCGGGGGAGUUUGGGGGCUCUGCCCUGGCCCUGCCUGCUCUCGGUAGGGAGGGGAGGAAGGGCAGGCUCAUGGCCUCGGGGAGGCUGAGCUCACGGGCGCCUGGAGCUGCCCAGGGUGCCCAGCCAGGGGACAGCCAGGGCACCCCACGAGCCAGGCCAGCAGGCUGGUGCUGGGGAAAGGGAGAGAGCGUGGAGCUGGGGAGCAGCGCAGCAGCGGGAGCAGUGGAGCAGUGGGAACAGUGGGAGCAGUGGGGUCAGUGGGAGCAGUGGGAGCAGUGGGAUCAAUGGGAGCAGUGGGAUCAGUGGGAGCAGUGGGAGCAGUGGGGUCAGUGGAGCAGUGGGAUCAAUGGGAGCAGUGGGAGCAGUGGGAUCAAUGGGAUCAGUGGGAGCAAUGGGAGCAGUGGAAGCAGUGGGAUCAAUGGGAGCAGUGGGAUCAGUGGGAGCAGUGGCAUCAGUGGGGUCAAUGGGAGCAGUGGGGUCAAUGGGAUCAGUGGGGUCAAUGGGAGCAGUGGGAUCAGUGGGAUCAAUGGGAGCAGUGGGAUCAAUGGGAGCAGUGGGAGCAGUGGGAUCAAUGGGAGCAGUGGGAUCAGUGGGGUCAAUGGGAUCAGUGGGAGCAGUGGGAUCAGUGGGGUCAAUGGGAGCAGUGGGAUCAAUGGGAACAGUGGGAUCAGUGGGAUCACUGGGAGCAGCAGCACGUUAGGCUGCAGGCUCUGUGCCAUGGAAUGGAGGGUUGGGCACAGAGCUGAUGAGCCUGGCAUGGGUCAUCAGGCACCUGCCAGCAGCUAAACCUGCACGGGGCAGUCUCCAGCCUCGGUGUGGGCAGGGUCCAUCCCAGCCGUGGGCACCCACAGGAACAGUGGGGAUGAGCCCCAAAGGAGGUGGGAUGGAAAGCAUUUAUCCACAGAGCUGGAGCUGGUGAGGUGGAUGGGUUGGAUCCCCUAUGAGUGGGUGGGCUGGAGCCCAUGUGGGGUACUCGGAGCCCCUCACCUGUCCCCGGAAUCCCCCUCCCAACCCUGCUGUAUGAUGUUCUAACCACACCUCCCUGGGACAGCCUGGCCUUUGCCCUUCCAGGCUCCAGUCUGGAUGUAGCCUCAGCUCCAUGCCAGCUCCCAAAACCAGCAGGUGACAAUGCUGGAAUAGCCCCAGCUGCUCUCCCUGGAGGGCUCUGAGCCCACUGCCCCCCAUCUCCUGGGAUCAGGGAGGCUGAAUCCCCCCAUGAUAUCCUUCCAGCUCCAUCUCUAGGUGCUGCUGGCCUUUCCAAGCUAAGCAAAGGGGAACACCUGCCCUCCCAAGCUGGCUCCCCGUGUCCUCCCCACGCAGGGGCAGGACGGGCAGCAGGGACGGCGCUUUCAGCCGCUCGCUAUUUUUAAUUGCUCUUUCCCAGAAAGGCUGGUGCAGGCUCCUAAAGCUGCUUCCAGCUGGGAGUUUGGAAAGCUGGUUCCAGUUAGGCGCCCGGCGCUCGCUGCGCUCCGAGCUGUUAUUUUUAGAAGGGCUGAAGGCAACAGCCCCACUCCCCAGGCUGCUGCUCGGCUCUGGCCAAGUUCCCUUGCCGGCAGGACCCUGCUGGACCCUUGGCUGGGGACAUCCUGGUGGCGUCACUUUAUGAUUGCCCUUUUUUCUGGUGCUUUUUUGGCAGGGAAGGACUUUCAUCUCCCCGUGUCAAGCUGUGCAGUCAGGAAGACCAAAGGCAGAGGAUGUGAGCAGUGGUCAUCCCUGAAGGGCCAGGGCGCAGAGCAGCAUCUUCUGGUUUUAAUUAAAAACCAUCCGCUGGCAAAGUUUGAUGGCG
ensembl:lncRNA